GACGAACGCUGGCGGCGUGCUUAACACAUGCAAGUCGAACGGUGACCCUUGGAGCUUGCUCCGAGGCGAUCAGUGGCGAACGGGUGAGUAACACGUGAGUAACCUGCCCCAGACUCUGGAAUAACCCCGGGAAACCGGAGCUAAUACCGGAUACGAGACGGAGAGGCAUCUCUACCGUCUGGAAAGUUUUUCGGUCUGGGAUGGACUCGCGGCCUAUCAGCUAGUUGGUGAGGUAGUGGCUCACCAAGGCGACGACGGGUAGCCGGCCUGGGAGGGCGACCGGCCACACUGGGACUGAGACACGGACCAGACUCCUACGGGAGGCAGCAGUGGGGAAUAUUGCACAAUGGGCGAAAGCCUGAUGCAGCGACGCCGCGUGAGGGAUGAAGGCCUUCGGGUUGUAAACCUCUUUCGACAGGGACGAUGAUGACGGUACCUGUAGAAGAAGCCCCGGCUAACUUCGUGCCAGCCGCCGCCGUAAAAC
rnacentral:rRNA from 1 species